CCUACGGGAGGCAUCAGUGGGGAAUAUUGGGCAAUGGAGGAAACUCUGACCCAGCAACGCCGCGUGAAUGAUGAAGGUCCUCGGAUUGUAAAGCUCUUUUCUAAGGGAAGAAGAAAGUGACGGUACCUUAGGAAUAAGCCUCGGCUAACUACGUGCCAGCAGCCGCGGUAAUACGUAGGAGGCAAGCGUUAUUCGGAAUGACUGGGCGUAAAGGGUGCGUAGGUGGUUUGACAAGUUGGUAGCGUAACUCCGAGGCUUAACCUCGGCACUGCUACCAAAACUGUUGGACUCGAGUGCAGGAGGGGCAAAUGGAAUUCCUGGUGUAGCGGUGGAAUGCGUAGAUAUUAGGAAGAACACCGGUGGCGAAGGCGAUUUGCUGGACUGUAACUGACACUGAGGCACGAAAGCGUGGGGAGCAAACAGGAUUAGAUACCCCAGUAGUC
rnacentral:rRNA from 1 species